GUGUCGGUGCGCCAGCCGGGUUCGCUAGGACGAAUCCUGGACCGCGACGAGCGCGUUGCUCGCGCCUGCUAACCUCUCCCUCGCUGUUGGGUUGCUGUUCCAGGCCGGCGCCGUGAACAAGCAGGGCGACAGCAUUCUGUGCCGCUGAGCGCGCUGGCCAGGUGCGCGGCCGCCUGAGCCCGAGCCAGGAGCGCUAGAGAGGGAGGGGCAGGAGAACUUAGCGCAAAAGCCACCGGAGGAAAGGAAAACACUGCAGCAAACUCGAGACGUUUGCUUUCGUCCUUCUGAGAGAGAGAGAGAGAGGGCGAGGGAAGAAAACUCCAACUUUCAUCCUUUUAUUUGCACGUUCAUAAGCAUUCUGCAUACGUAUUCUCUUUGACUCUUCGUUUAUAACCGCUGUGAAUUGUAUAUUUCUGUGUGGGUCUUUUUUUUUUUUUUUUUUUGGAGGUGCAGUUAAAACUUUUAAGCUUGAGUGUGACAGGAAUGAUUAAUAGAAGAUCAAGAGUAAAUCCAACCUUGGAAGCCUUCGUGACCAAGGAGCUCAAUUUUUAUUUUGAAGCU